rnacentral:rRNA from 1 species
GAUGAACGCUGGCGGCGUGCCUAAUACAUGCAAGUCGAGCGAAUAGACGAGGAUCUUGCUUCUCUGACGUUUGCGGCGGAUGGGUGAGUACCAGGUAGAUGACUUACAUUUGGGGCUGAGGUACGGUCAGGUGCCCGUAGCUCGUAUCGGUUCAUAUUUUGAAAGUCGUGGUUCAUCGGUCAAAAAGCGAUCUGCUGUGACUUUGACGUAGAUCCGAGUUGCAUUAGCAAGUUGGUAAGGUAACGGCUUACCAAGGCAACGAUGCGUAGCCGACCUGAGAGGGUGAUCGGCCACACUGGAACUGAGACACGGUCCAGACUCCUACGGGAGGCAGCAGUAGGGAAUCUUCCGCAAUGGGCGAAAGCCUGAUGGAGCAACGCCGCGUGAGUGAUGAAGGUCUUCGGAUCGUAAAACUCUGUUAGUAGGGAAGAACAAAUGUGUAUGUAACUAUGCACGUCUUGACGUUACCGAAACAGAAAGCCACGGCUAACUACGUG